rnacentral:rRNA from 1 species
CAAGUCGAGCGGACAGAUGGGAGCUUGCUCCCUGAUGUUAGCGGCGGACGGGUGAGUAACACGUGGGUAACCUGCCUGUAAGACUGGGAUAACUCCGGGAAACCGGGGCUAAUACCGGAUGCUUGUUUGAACCGCAUGGUUCAAACAUAAAAGGUGGCUUCGGCUACCACUUACAGAUGGACCCGCGGCGCAUUAGCUAGUUGGUGAGGUAAUGGCUCACCAAGGCAACGAUGCGUAGCCGACCUGAGAGGGUGAUCGGCCACACUGGGACUGAGACACGGCCCAGACUCCUACGGGAGGCAGCAGUAGGGAAUCUUCCGCAAUGGACGAAAGUCUGACGGAGCAACGCCGCGUGAGUGAUGAAGGUUUUCGGAUCGUAAAGCUCUGUUGUUAGGGAAGAACAAGUACCGUUCGAAUAGGGCGGUACCUUGACGGUACCUAACCAGAAAGCCACGGCUAACUACGUGCCAGCAGCCGCGGUAAUACGUAGGUGGCAAGCGUUGUCCGGAAUUAUUGGGCGUAAAGGGCUCGCAGGCGGUUUCUUAAGUCUGAUGUGAAAGCCCCCGGCUCAACCGGGGAGGGUCAUUGGAAACUGGGGAACUUGAGUGCAGAAGAGGAGAGUGGAAUUCCACGUGUAGCGGUGAAAUGCGUAGAGAUGUGGAGGAACACCAGUGGCGAAGGCGACUCUCUGGUCUGUAACUGACGCUGAGGAGC